rnacentral:rRNA from 1 species
GAUGAACGCUGGCGGCGUGCCUAAUACAUGCAAGUCGAGCGAACAGAUAAGGAGCUUGCUCCUUUGACGUUAGCGGCGGACGGGUGAGUAACACGUGGGUAACCUACCUAUAAGACUGGGAUAACUUCGGGAAACCGGAGCUAAUACCGGAUAAUAUUUCGAACCGCAUGGUUCGAUAGUGAAAGAUGGUUUUGCUAUCACUUAUAGAUGGACCCGCGCCAUAUUAGCUAGUUGGUAAGGUAACGGCUUACCAAGGCGACGAUACGUAGCCGACCUGAGAGGGUGAUCGGCCACACUGGAACUGAGACACGGUCCAGACUCCUACGGGAGGCAGCAGUAGGGAAUCUUCCGCAAUGGGCGAAAGCCUGACGGAGCAACGCCGCGUGAGUGAUGAAGGUCUUCGGAUCGUAAAACUCUGUUAUUAGGGAAGAACAUACGUGUAAGUAACUGUGCACGUCUUGACGGUACCUAAUCAGAAAGCCACGGCUAACUACGUG